ACGCUCGACACCUACGGGGGGCAGCAGUGGGGAAUAUUGGGCAAUGGGCGCAAGCCUGACCCAGCAACGCCGCGUGAAGGAUGAAGGCUUUCGGGUUGUAAACUUCUUUUAUUCGGGACGAAGAAAAUGACGGUACCGAAUGAAUAAGCCACGGCUAACUACGUGCCAGCAGCCGCGGUAAUCUGAGCGGGCUGGCAAGGC
rnacentral:rRNA from 1 species